UUAUUCAUACCUUAUUUUAAUUUUAUGUCUGACAUCUGACAGGUGACUGAAUUGUUCACCAAGUUCUCUCCUUUCUCUGGCUGACAUCCUUAUUUGCUAUACUGUAUUUGAAAAUCAGGAAGAAUUUAACACCAAAAUGCAUGACUCACUCGCAUACUCCUUGUGUGGUGUUAUAGAGAAACAGCAACAAGGAAAGAAAAAAAUUGAACAAAAUAUGGAAAUAUCUGCUAACAUAGCCAGAAAAUAUAUUGUAAAAUAUACAGUAGCAGGCCUUAGAGUCAGAAAAUAUCCAAAUUACGCCUGAUCUUAGAGGUCAGUAGCAAAAGGUGUAUCCAACUCAACUAUAGCAUUAAUUAGCAAAACAAAGAAGCAAACAAACAAAAAUCAAACAAAUCUUUCUUCCACAGAUGCCAUAGUUUCCUCAUAGUGAAUGGCUACAGCUGACUCUGUAUGAAGAUGCAUUUUACCUAUGGAUACACACAACUACAGCUGGCCACAGGAUGCUAAACAUUGAUCACAGACUGCUGUUUGCUACAAGAAAUGGGCUUCUGGAUAAAGACAGCACACACACAUAUUUACAUUUGAACUCCAGGUAAAAUGAAGAUAGCUCUAGAAGUAAAAUUGGAAGAUAUUGGAAGGAAGAAUGAUAAAAAUAACAAUAUAAGUAGCACAAUUCAGUACAAUGGCAUGUGAGAA